GACGAACGCUGGCGGCGUGCUUAACACAUGCAAGUCGAACGGAAAGGCCCUGCUUUUGUGGGGUGCUCGAGUGGCGAACGGGUGAGUAACACGUGAGUAACCUGCCCUUGACUUUGGGAUAACUUCAGGAAACUGGGGCUAAUACCGGAUAGGAGCUCCUGCUGCAUGGUGGGGGUUGGAAAGUUUCGGCGGUUGGGGAUGGACUCGCGGGUUAUCAGCUUGUUUGGGGGGUAGUGGCUUACCAAGGCUUUGACGGGUAGCCGGCCUGAGAGGGUGACCGGCCACAUGGGGACUGAGAGACGCAGCAGUCUCCAACGGGAGGCAGCAGUGGGGAGUAUGGCACAAUGGGCGGACGCCUGAUGUGGCAGCGCCGCGUGCGGGAUGACGGCCUUCGGGUUGUAAACAGCUUUCGACUGUGACGAGGCGUGAGUGACGGUAAUGGAUAAAGAAGCACCGGCUAACUACGUG
rnacentral:rRNA from 1 species